rnacentral:rRNA from 1 species
AACGAACGCUGGCGGCAGGCUUAACACAUGCAAGUCGAACGCGUGCAGCAAUGCACGAGUGGCGCACGGGUGAGUAACGCGUGGAUAUCUGCCUUUUGGUUCGGAAUAACCCCGGGAAACUGGGGCUAAUACCGGAUGGUUCCUACGGGAUAAAGAUUUAUCGCCAAAAGAUGAGUCCGCGUCCGAUUAGCUAGUUGGUGAGGUAAUGGCUCACCAAGGCGACGAUCGGUAGCUGGUCUGAGAGGACGAUCAGCCACACUGGGACUGAGACACGGCCCAGACUCCUACGGGAGGCAGCAGUGGGGAAUAUUGGACAUUGGGGGCAACCCUGAUCCAGCCAUGCCGCGUGAGUGAUGAAGGCCUUCGGGUUGUAAAGCUCUUUUGGCUGGGACGAUGCUGACGGUACCCGCAGAAUAAGCCCCGGCUAACUUCGUG